UACAGUGUACAUGUAAUUGUUAUUGAUUGCCUUGCUUCCAUGAACCAUAUAUAUAUUUCAAUAAUGCCACAUUGCACUAGAAAUAUUGCUGACAAAGAUGUGGAAAGAGAUCAUGGAGAGAGAGAGAGAGAGAGAGAGUAUGAAAAGCCAUAACAAAUUUUAUAGUUAUAUGUCAUUUCCCACUUAAUGAGUUGUUAUAGCUGUUAUCAUGGUAAUGUUUUGACCAUGUCUCAGAAACUGCAUGUGCCCAUAAAAAAGUGUAAUCUAGGACACACCCUUUUGUUUUGAUAAUGACAGCAUUUAGCUUUGUAAUGAUAGCUAGUGUAUCUUUUUUCUUCUAAUCUACAGAUUUACCUGCGGUUUCCAGAUGAUCUGAAGAUCGGGAUUAUAGAAAAUAUUGUCAAUUUGAUAUUGCUAAUGACCCAUGUAGUCAUGUCUGCUGAAGCCCAGAAGUUUCCAGACCAUGACAUUAAUGAAUAUUUCUUGAAUGGAAUGCAUGAGGAUUCGAAUGGAACCUUAUUCUGCCUUUUUACCAACUCACACCAUCUUUUCAAGAUUUAUGGAGCCAACCACAGAAGAAUUUGUUCUAUACACAUCAUUCAUAACAUUCUUAUUUAUGUUGCAUAACUUUAAAUGUUACUGGAUGAGUUGCGUUCACAUAAUGAAUACCAGCAAACUUUUUAUCGAGUGCACUUACCGGUAAUUUGUAUUUUUCCUACCCAUCCAUCUAACAUAUGUUUUUAUAUAACAUAUUCAUAUACAUGUAACAUUUUUGGAAACAGCUAUUUUUUUUUAAUUGGAAUUUAGCCUUACUAUUUUAUACAAGUUUUUUUUAAAGGGACUUGGACACGAUCAAAAUUUUGUUUUCAAGUUCUUUAUGCAUAAAAUGAUUUACUUGCACAUUUUGAAUAAUUGACACUAAUUUGAAUGUUAGAAGUCAAGUUAUAAGAGAGAUACAGGGGUCAGAAUUUAUUGUUAUGUAAACAAAGCUCGAGUCUUAUGUUUGUUAACAAAUAAUAUAAAGUAUGAAAUUACCAAUUUUUUGAGAAAAUGAUUCAUAGAAAAGAAGGUAAACUGAUUUGAUGUGAUCAUAAAUGAUAUUAUUAAUAGAAAAAAGCAACAUUUGAAUUAAACUUACACCAAUAAAACACAUAUGUAAAUAAUAACAAGACUUGCGCUUUGUUUACAAAACAAAAAAUAUUUAAUUUUUUAUCUUUCUUUUAACUCAGUAUUUGACUUUCAAAUUUUGACAAAGCAUUAAAAAUACCCAUAUCAACCAUUCUAAAUAUUGAAAAUGGAAAUAUAAAAUUUUGAAUUUUAAGCUCAAAUCGUGUCUAAGUCCCUUGAAUAUACUCUUUUGUAUACAAACAGAACAAAAAAUACUUAGUUACAAUGGGAAAUAGACAUAAUAUAUAUAAAAGUGUCUGAUAAAAGGAUAGGUCUUAUUCUUGAACAGAAGAAAUUGACAGAAAAAUAUUCAGUUUUAGCCAUGAAAUACAAAUAUUAAUAUUUGUUAAGAAUAUUUUUUAAUCUAAAUAAGUUAUAAAAGUUUUUUUUCCCUUUAUUCCAAUGUUUGGAAACAAAUCCAAAAUAUAAUUAAAAUUGCUGUACAGUAUAUCCUAUUGAUUCCUAUAAUAUAUCACUUUAGUUUCUUGAACAGCAUGUUUAUUACUUUUUUUUCUUAAAAUGAUGUAUACAAGGUCAUUAAUUUAUUUUCAUUAUAUUCAACUAGAUACAAAUAGGCCUUCUGCAACCUUUUCAUUGUUUAAAUGGUAUGGAGUUUUAAUUACCUUUCAUAUGAAAAAUGACAUCUAAAUCUUAAAUUGCUUUACAUUAUAUCCUAUCCAUCUAAUGUAUCACUUUAUUUAUGUUGAACUUCGUGUCUAUUAGUAUAAUGAUUUUUUUUAGAAUGAUGUGUGCAAUUUCAUUAAUUUAUUUUUCAUUUUAAGAAAAUUCAUUUUAAAAAAGAUCCCUUACAACCUGUGUAUUUUUUUUUCAGUUUACAUAACACAGUGUAUUAAAGGCCGAACAUUUUACAAACGCCCCCUUUUUUACCUGUACAAACUUCAAAAUGAUGCCGCUUGUCAAUCAAGUUUGAAACAAUAGCACCCAGUUUGAUUGACGUGAUCGUCCGAGCGUGAUCUUGCCAGGUCCGCGGAUUUCUGUUUACUAGCAAUUAACAACGUUAUCUUUGAUAUCUUCCGUCAUGAAUUAAAGGGGGUAUAAAUGAAAAUUGAUUUUUAAACAUUACCAGUAUUAAAAUUGAUUAUGAAAAAUAAUUAUUCAGUGAUUGAAAAUACGCACAAUUUAUAUUUGAAUUAUGUUGAAUGUGUGUGACCUAAUAAAUUCAACGAAAAUGCAUGGACAGCUCCAAAACAUAUAAAAUUUUCUUUUUACAACAAACGUACAAUAUGCUACUAAAGCUAUAUUUACUGGUAAGAAGUUGGUGUAUGUAAACGUCGUAGUAGUAGUAGUAGUAGUUUAUUGGCGUAUACAUUACAUACAUUGCCAUAGCAUACAAUUUAACAGUACUUUACAAUAAUUGUGGGUACAGGUGGAAGGCAGGUUAUAUAAAUAUAUAUAAAAGGUAUAAAGUGGAUGAAAAAAUAUCAAAAAGAUUAACAAAGCAGUAGUUAUAUAUAAACUUGAUUUACGCUUAUUCACGUCUGAUGGUAAAGUUGUCCCUCUUAUUAAAAGAUUCGUACACAUAUUUACCCAGUUUUUUAACAUAAAUAUAGAAUCAGAAUUGAAUAAAUCAAUAAAUUUUGCCAUACUUGGUCGUACAUAGAAGUAUUUCUUAAUAUAUAAUUUCCUUAACUCCGUGUAAAAAUCACACACCAAAACAAAAUGGUAUUCAUCUUCGACAUCGUUUGAUUUACAAUAUAUACAUUUCCUUUCAUUAAUAUGACAUUUUUUAUCAUAUCUACCAGAUUCGUUUCGUAGACGAUGUGAAGAUAAUCUAAGUCUAAUGUAGUUGUGUAGAUUUAGACAUGUACCUACAAGCAAUAUACAUUUAAUAUUCACCGGGUAAAUGUACCAGCCUACUAUAUUUGAUAAAUAAAUGUACUUCUUUCAUGCCUUUUUCAUGCCUUUUACUCAUGGUUAUAUGUAUUAUUUAUAAUUAAAAUACUUUGAAAACUUU